rnacentral:tRNA from 1 species
AGUAGUGUGGCCGAGUAUUAAGCAGAAGACUGUAGAUCUUCCAACGGGUUAGCCCCCACUACUA